UACGGGGGGGGCAAGCGUUGUUCGGAAUUACUGGGCGUAAAGGGCUCGUAGGCGGCCAACUAAGUCAGACGUGAAAUCCCCAGGCUUAACCUGGGAACUGCGUCUGAUACUGGAUGGCUUGAAUUCGGGAGAGGGAUGCAGAAUUCCAGGUGUAGCGGUGAAAUGCGUAGAUAUCUGGAGGAAUACCGGUGGCGAAGGCGGCAUCCUGGACCGACAUUGACGCUGAGGAGCGAAAAGCUAGGGGAGCAAACGGGG
rnacentral:rRNA from 1 species